rnacentral:rRNA from 1 species
UACGUAUGGUGCAAGCGUUAUCCGGAUUUACUGGGUGUAAAGGGAGCGUAGGCGGCGCGUUAAGUCUGAUGUGAAAACCCGAGGCUCAACCACGGGAGUGCAUUGGAAACUGGCGGGCUGGAGUGCCGGAGAGGUAAGCGGAAUUCCUAGUGUAGCGGUGAGAUGCGUAGAUAUUAGGAGGAACACCAGUGGCGAAAGCGGCUCUCUGGCCUGUAACUGACACUGAGGCUCGAAAGCGUGGGGAGCAAAUAGG